GCCCUGGAGGGCUCCACACCCGCACGUCCCCUUCCUUCUCUCCCAGUGCGUCCCCCUCAGGACCGCCAGCUGAGUCAGUGCCGGGUGUCACUGUCCCUGAUGAGAGGGAGCACCCCGUAGCAUCUGGAGUGCAUUCUGGUUACCCUUCCUGCCACAGGUAAUUCUGAUUUCCUGAUCUAACCCCUGCCUUCUCCUCCUUUCCUUCUGUGAUGUUUAAUUUUAUGUAUGGACUUGGCUGGGCCACGGGUGCCCAGGUAUUGGGUGAGACUUUCUUCUGGGCGUCUCCGGUGAGAGUAACAUCUGAACGGGUGGUCUGACGCAAGCAGGUGCCCUCCCCUCGCGGGUGGGCCUCGUCCAGUCCCGGAGGCCUCAACAGAGCAGAAGCGAGUGAUGCAGAAUCGGCUCUCCUGGCCCGACAGACUCCAGCUCGGACAGCGGCCUCCUGCCUUUGGACACAGACUCAGGCAGGACCUCACACGUCCGGCUCCCCUGGGUCUCCAGCUGGCCCGCUGCAGCCCUGGGGACUUGUCAGCUUCCGUGACAGUGCGUGAGCCAGCUCCUCGCGAUCCGUGGGUGCACGUAUCCAGCCUGCUUUACACUUCUACACGUAACACACGUCACACGUGCGUUCUGUCUCUCUGGAGAACCUGUCGCCCCCGCCAAGGUCAACGCCCCGCUUGUCCUGCAGCUGGUCUGUCUUGGUGGCAGCUCCCCGGGGCCCUCCUCCCUUCGCCCUGGGCUGGCGCUUCCUCCUCCAGGACCCAGGGGUCUCCUAUCUCCCAGGUAUAAUAACCACCACAAAAAAAAAAAGCACCACAAAAAAACAAGCAGAGAGCCUCGUUCCUCUGAUGAGCGACCACCUCCACAAGGACCACACUCCAGUCCUGGUCCACAGAAGAUAUAUGGUCGGGGCAAACUCAAGACAGCCGGGAGGGAGAACCUGAGGAUGAAGAGGCUCAAGACGCGUGCCAGCGGUCGCAACGCGUGGGCCUUGUGUGCAUCUCCAUCAGGCCAACUGUACAAACGCCGUUCCUAGCAGCGUCCAGGAGCCUGGAACCUGAGAGGUUCUCUGUGCUGACGGCAUUAUAGCUACUUUGUGGGAAUACAGCUGAAGUGUGAAGUGACGCCUGGGAUCUACUCAGAACAGCCAGUUCCCUGACCAGGGAUUGAACCCUCGCCCCCUGCAGUGGACGCGCGGAGGCUUAACCACUGGAGCCCUGAGUCCUCAUCUUCAAUGAAGGCAAAUCCUCAGACUCUGUGUCUCAGAAGAGUCCCCGCCUCUUUUCUCCUUCUGGGAAUCGCGAACCUGCUGCUGUUUCCCCAUCCUUCUCCAUCCUCCGCUGUGUCGUCAGGGUGGCCCUUCAUCCCUCCCGAGUCCGUGCCUCUUCUCGGUUCUCUCUGAGCCCUGGCUCCUGCCUCCGGCUUCCUGAGCCCCUGCCCUUUGGGCUUCUCUGUGAAGCCCCGUCCGGUCAGUCAUUCCGCCCAGAACAGCCGGACCCGUGGCUUCUUUGUCCACCUCGGCCUGGACGCCCGGGCUCCACCACAGAGCUUGCGGAGCUGGGAGAGGUGCUCAGGACCAAGGGGUGGGGCCCUCUCCCUACCCUGCCCGCAGGGCCCACCAGGGCCUCGACCAGCAGCCCAGCCCCUCCUGCUUGCCUCCACCCAUCCUAAGCCCCCAAAGCCCCCGCGCCCUCCGGCCUCAGCCCCUGCCCAUCCCCCCACCUGUGCCGGCGCUAAUCUGGGGCUCAGUGCUGGGGGCGGCCCUACACCUGCACCCCAGGUGCCCAGACUCCUCACUGGGGUCCCCCAGGAUGCGGGGAGGGGGUGCCUGCUGUCCACGACCCUUACUGACGCCGCCCAGGGUGCCCGUGGCGGCCCCUCGGUCACCGGCCAUUCCCCGCGUACAGCUGAGCCGACAUGCAGGCGACACCACUGCUCCUUCACUACACCGUGGCCCACGCACCCAGGUGCGACUCGAUGUGGCCCCGGGGCGGGGGUGUGGUCAUGUGAGGGCUGCCUGCCCCGCCCGCCCCCCGCUUCCCCCUGGGGCACGGCAUAGUCUGGACUCUCAGACCCCCAGCCGUGGCAAGGUCUCCCCGGGACAGAGUGGCCCGUGCAGGCCAGAGACGAGCUGAGCUGGGGCCGUGGGACAGCACGGGCCCACUGGCCAGAGUCCCCUGGCCGGUCUCAGAGGUUGCCGGUGGUGCAGGGCGCGGCUGGGGGGCCCUUCUGGGGAGGCAGGGGGAGUUGGGGCAGGGCCUGGGCCGGACCCCGAGGCCAACAGGCAGGUGGAGAGCGCAGCGGCGGCGUGCGGGACCCCAGCUCUGACCUCGCUCUGGCCCCGCACAGGGCCUGCUCCUGGACGUGCACCGUCCUGUGGACGUGCCGGCGUCGCCCUGCACCGGUGGCUGGACCGAGGCCCCACACUCCCAACCUCUAGGCGCCCCGGGGUCUCGAAGGGAAACAGCUCCGCCAGGAGCCCCGGGAACGCGCAAGCCCCACUGCAGCUGAGCCCGCCCGGAAAGCACGAGCCUGGGAACAAUGCCCUUCGUGUGACAGACUUUCCCCUCUGUGGGAGAAAAUAGAGUUUAACAGAAUGGCGACUUCCUGCAUUUGUGCCUUCGCCUGAGGGGUGAUUCACACAAGACCUCCCACAAAGAGGAGCUUCUAGCCAAGUCAGCCAGGGCCAGGUGCCCCAAGGGCCCUGCACCCCUUGGGGCCCCGGGGCCAGGGCACAAGGACUCAUGUGACCCGCGAGCAGCCCGGCCCACGGCCCCGCCCUGUGGCCACUUGCCUCUUGGUCUCUCCUGGGGGAGGCCCUGGCCGACCACCCUCCUGCCUUCGCCUGAGGUUCCUGCCACUCCCACACCCAAACCCCACCACGGCCAGACCCCCUCCCUGGAGCUCUGGGGCCGCUCCGGUUCAUACCUUCCUCCCCUUCAGGGCCCAAAACACAGAGAUGGUGGGACCAACCGCCCUGCUUUGGGGACACACGGCCCUUCUAUGCAGGCAUCGAUGACACCACAGCGGGCUGGGACGGUGUGGCUGAGAUGAGGCUUCACUAGGACAUCCCGCUGUGAGGCUGGUGGACGGUGGCCCAGCUGCUGCCCUCCAGAUGCACGGGGCCUUGGCGCCAAGGCCUCGCUGCCCAUGGCUGCCGCCUGCCCACGAGGGAGAGACGGAGCACGGCAGGGGUGCAGAGGCCCUUUCCUGCAGCCACACAGCAGCCUGAGGCCCCUCCUGCCGGGCCUCCUGCCUCUCCUGCUUUCCCCGGGGGCAGGCACCCUGCAUGGGGUCUGGCCCCCCACUUGAUUCUUCACAGGUGUUUCCCCCCAGGAUCUCGUCCACAUCAGCUCCCCACUUGGCCUCUCACAUGGGAUCAGGUUCAAGCCGCCGCCGCCUCUCCUGGACCUUGUGACCUCCAGCCAAGGAGCCUCCAGGGUGGCACAGCUCCCCCCUUUCCCUGGUGGGUGCUCAGGCCCUUUGUGAACGCUCGCUGCCCUUUGCACAGCACCUACGAUGUCCUGGCACUGCGCUGGGUGUUCUCCAUCUGACACCUCAAGUCUCUGCGCAAACCCCGGUGUUACAGCUGAGCUCAGAGGGGUUGAGGCUUGCCCGAGGCUGCAGAGGGGCUCGGCCAGCA